rnacentral:tRNA from 1 species
UAAUUUAAAAGNCAGUAGUUAAACUCUACUAUUAAGGG